rnacentral:rRNA from 1 species
CCUACGGGUGGCAGCAGUAGGGAAUUUUGCACAAUGGGGGAAACCCUGACGCAGCAACGCCGCGUGAGCGAUGAAGCCCUUCGGGGUGUAAAGAUCUGUCAGCAGGGACGAAACCUGACGGUACUCACAGAGGAAGCACCGGUUAACUCGGGGCAAGCAGCCGCGGUAAUACGGGGGGUGCAAGCGUUGUCCGGAAUCAUUGGGUGUAAGGUGUUCGUAGGUGGCACGUGAAGUAUGGUGUGAAAGGCGGAAGCUCAACUUCCGUAGGGCAUUGGAUACUGGCGAGCUUGAGUGCGGUAGAGGUAAAGGGAAUUCCUGGUGUAGCGGUGAAAUGCGUAGAUAUCAGGAGGAACACCAGUGGCGUAGGCGCUUUACUGGACCGUAAUUGACGCUGAGGAACGAAAGCGGGGGUAGCAAAUGGGAUUAGAUACCCCUGUAGUC